rnacentral:rRNA from 1 species
GAUGACCGCUGGCGGCGUGCCUAAUACAUGCAAGUCGAGCGAAUGGAUUAAGAGCUUGCUCUUAUGAAGUUAGCGGCGGACGGGUGAGUAACACGUGGGUAACCUGCCCAUAAGACUGGGAUAACUCCGGGAAACAGGGGCGAAUACCGGAUAACAUUUUGAACCGCAUGGUUCGAAAUUGAAAGGCGGCUCCGGCUGUCACUUAUGGAUGUACUCGCGUCGCAUUAGCUAGUUGGUGAGGUAACGGCUCACCAAGGAAACGAUGCGUAGCCGACCUGAGAGGGUGAUCGGCCACACUGGGACUGAGACACGGCCCAGACUCCUACGGGAGGCAGCAGUAGGGAAUCUUCCGCAAUGGACGAAAGUCUGACGGAGCAACGCCGCGUGAGUGAUGAAGGCUUUCGGGUCGUAAAACUCUGUUGUUAGGGAAGAACAAGUGCUAGUUGAAUAAGCUGGCACCUUGACGGUACCUAACCAGAAAGCCACGGCUAACUACGUGCCAGCCGCCGCAGUAA